rnacentral:rRNA from 2 species
CCUGGUGAUCUCAAGCGGAGGGGCCACACCCGAUCCCAUCCCGAACUCGGAAGUUAAGCCCUCCAGCGCCGAUGAUAGCGGUUCUCCGCAAAAGUAGGCCAUCGCCAGGA